GAUGAACGCUAGCGACAGGCUUAACACAUGCAAGUCGAGGGGCAGCAUAAAAGUAGCAAUACUUUGGUGGCGACCGGCGCACGGGUGAGUAACGCGUAUGCAACCUACCUAUCAGAGGGGAAUAACCCGGCGAAAGUCGGACUAAUACCGCAUAAAACAGGGACACCGCAUGGUGAUAUUUGUUAAAGAAAUUCGCUGAUAGAUGGGCAUGCGUUCCAUUAGGUAGUUGGUGAGGUAACGGCUCACCAAGCCGACGAUGGAUAGGGGAACUGAGAGGUUGGUCCCCCACACUUGGACUGAGACACGGACCAGACUCCUACGGGGGGCAGCAGUGAGGAAUAUUGGUCAAGGGGCGAGAGCCUGAACCAGCCAAGUCGCGUGAAGGAAGAAGGACCUAUGGUUCGUAAACUUCUUUUGCAGGGGAAUAAAGUGCAGGACGUGUCCUGUUUUGUAUGUACCCUGAGAAUAAGGAUCGGCUAACUCCGUGCCAGCAGCCGCCGCUGUAA
rnacentral:rRNA from 1 species